UUUCCGGUUGAUCCUGCCGGACCUGACUGCUAUCGGAUUGAUACUAAGCCAUGCGAGUCUUUGCAGUAAUGCAAGGCGGACUGCUCAGUAACACGUAGUCAACUUAACCUAUGGAUGGGUAUAACCUCGGGAAACUGAGAAUAAUUCCCAAUAGAUCAUUUAUCCUGGAAUGGUUGAUGAUUGAAAUGAUUCGUCGCCAUAGGAUAGGACUGCGGCCUAUCAGCUUGUUGGUGAGGUAAAGGCCCACCAAGGCUAUUACAGGUACGGGCUCUGAGAGGAGAAGCCCGGAGAUGGGUACUGAGACACGGACCCAGGCCCUAUGGGGCGCAGCAGGCGAGAAAACUUUGCAAUGUGCGAAAGCACGACAAGGUUAAUCCGAGUGAUUUCUGCUAAAGAAAUCUUUUGCCAGUCCUAAAAACACUGGUGAAUAAGGGGUGGGCAAGUUCUGGUGUCAGCCGCCGCGGUAAAACCAGCACCUCAAGUUGUCAGGAGGAUUAUUGGGCCUAAAGCAUCCGUAGCCGGCUCUGUGAGUUUUCGGUUAAAUCCAUAUGCUCAACAUAUGGGCUGUCGGAAAUACUGCAGAGCUAGGGAAUGGGAGAGGUAGACGGUACUUGGUAGGAAGGGGUAAAAUCCUUUGAUCUAUCGAUGACCACCUGUGGCGAAGGCGGUCUACCAGAACAUGUUCGACGGUGAGGGAUGAAAGCUGGGGGAGCAAACCGGAUUAGAUACCCGGGUAGUCCCAGCUGUAAACGAUGCAGACUCGAUGAUGCAUUAGCAUAUAGCUAAUG
rnacentral:rRNA from 2 species